rnacentral:rRNA from 1 species
GACGAACGCUGGCGGCGUGCUUAACACAUGCAAGUCGAACGGACAGGCCCUGCUUUUGUGGGUUGCUCGAGUGGCGAACGGGUGAGUAAAACGUGAGUAACCUGCCCUUGACUUUGGGAUAACUUCAGGAAACUGGGGCUAAUACCGGAUAGGAGCUCCUGCUGCAUGGUGGGGGUUGGAAAGUGUCGGCGGUUGGGGAUGGACUCGCGGCUUAUCAGCUUGUUGGUGGGGUUGUGGCGUACCAAGGCUUUGACGGGUAGCCGGCCUGGGAGGGUGACCGGCCACAUUGGGACUGAGAUACGGACCAGACUCCUACGGGAGGCAGCAGUGGGGAAUAUUGCACAAUGGGCGGAAGCCUGAUGCAGCAACGCCGCGUGCGGGAUGACGGCCUUCGGGUUGUAAACCGCUUUCGCCUGAGACGAAGCGUGAGUGACGGUAAUGGGUAAAGAAGCACCGGCUAACUACGUG